CAGUAGCCGCGGUAAUACAGAGGGUGCGAGCGUUAAUCGGAUUUACUGGGCGUAAAGCGUGCGUAGGCGGCUUCUUAAGUCGGAUGUGAAAUCCCUGAGCUUAACUUAGGAAUUGCAUUCGAUACUGGGAAGCUAGAGUAUGGGAGAGGAUGGUAGAAUUCCAGGUGUAGCGGUGAAAUGCGUAGAGAUCUGGAGGAAUACCGAUGGCGAAGGCAGCCAUUUGGCCUAAUACUGACGCUGAGGUACGAAAGCAUGGGGAGCAAACAGGAUUAGAACACCAGUAGUCCCUGUCUCUUAUACA
rnacentral:rRNA from 1 species